CUUCCCUUUUUAAGAUAAACAUAUCCCCCUUAUUGCUCCUAUGUUCCCUCAUCUUUCCCAUACUUCAUCCCUAAAAGUGCUUGUGUUGACCUCCAAAACACCCAUUGGCAAGCCAUACACCCCGUUUUCCAUCAUUUUCUUCUUUCUUUCCCUCCUCUCCACUUUUUUUUCUUUUUACCCACCACAGCCACCACCCUUUUCUUUCCACCACUGUGAGUUUAUUUGCACCACCACCUCACCACUGUCCACAACUAACAUUCUAUCUCUUUUCCUUUCAGUUUUCUCCCUCCACCACUGUCGCAACUACCGUAGGUCACCUUCUUCUCCACCGAUUUUCUUUUCUUCUCUCUUUUUCUCCUCUCUUUCAACUAAAAAGUAAUCAAACCCUCCUCCCUACUUGUACUUUGUACCACUAACAGACAAUUGCACCCCCCGUAGUCAGACCACUAUUGAGCCGCAGCCGUCGUUGAGCCACCACUGUCGCCACUGCCAUCGAUGACUGACUUUUUCCUUUCUAUUUUCUCUUUCUUUUGCCAAUUACCCUAGUGGUUAAAACACAUAUUUUCUUUUAAUUUAUUCAAUUAUUUUAGAUUAUCCAACCAUCAAUUUCACUUUAUUUUCAUUCCUUCGAUCAUCUCGUAACGAAACAAGAGACUGAUUAACAAUCCUCUGAGAAAUCAAUAAUGAAACAUCGCGAGAGUGACGAAUUCGAGCAUUCAAAUUGAGGAUUUACAAGCAAGACUAAACCUAAACGAAACUUCUACAAGGGAGCAAAUGGUUUAAAUCUAUAUUAAGGUGU